UGGGGAAUUUUGGACAAUGGGGGAAACCCUGAUCCAGCAACGCCGCGUGAAUGAAGAAGGCCUUAGGGUUGUAAAGUUCUUUUAUCUGGGGACAAAGAUUGCGGUGUAAUAUACCGUGAGGAUGAGGGUACCAGAAGAAUAAGCACCGGCUAACUACGUGCCAGCAGCCGCGGUAAUACGUAGGGUGCGAGCGUUAAUCGGAAUUACUGGGCGUAAAGGGUGCGCAGGCGGAUAUAUAAGUUGGAUGUGAAAUCCCCGAGCUUAACUUGGGAAUGGCAUUCAAGACUGUAUAUCUAGAGUUUGUCAGAGGGGGGUAGAAUUCCAAGUGUAGCAGUGAAAUGCGUAGAGAUUUGGAGGAAUACCGGUGGCGAAGGCGGCCCCCUGGGAUAGAACUGACGCUCAGGCACGAAAGCGUGGGUAGCAAACAGG
rnacentral:rRNA from 1 species